GAGUUUGAUCGUGGCUCAGAAUCAACGCUGGCGGCGCGCCUAACACAUGCAAGUCGAGCGAGAAAGUGGAGCAAUCCAUGAGUAAAGCGGCGUACGGGUGAGUAACACGUGGAUAAUCUACCCUCUAGUGGGGAAUAACCCUGGGAAACCGGGGCUAAUACCGCAUAAGCACGAGAGUGGAAAGCAGCAAUGCGCUGGAGGAGGAGUCCGCGGCCGAUUAGCUAGUUGGCAGGGUAAAAGCCUACCAAGGCAAAGAUCGGUAGCCGGCCUGAGAGGGCACACGGCCACACUGGCACUGAAACACGGGCCAGACUCCUACGGGAGGCAGCAGUGGGGAAUCUUGCACAAUGGGGGAAACCCUGAUGCAGCGACGCCGCGUGAGCGAUGAAGCCCUUCGGGGUGUAAAGCUCUUUCGGCAGGGAAGAUGAUGACGGUACCUGCAGAAGCAGCUGCGGCUAACUACGUGCCAGCCGCCGCGGUAAG
rnacentral:rRNA from 1 species